AGAUAGUUCUUUUUCAAGGACCUUUCUUUCUCCUCCAUCUUCUCUAACCCUAACUCUAACCCUAAUCUUCAUCUUCCUACCAACAUGUCCCACUUUGGAAGGUCCGGUCCUCCAGAUAUUACAGAUACCUACUCGCUUCUCGUGCUCAAUAUCACCUUCCGUACCACUGCUGAUGACCUCUACCCGCUUUUCCACAAGUAUGGUAAGGUUGUCGAUAUCUUCAUCCCCAGAGAUCGAAGGACUGGUGAUUCUAGAGGUUUUGCAUUUGUGCGUUACAAGUAUGCAGAUGAGGCUCAGAAAGCAGUGGAGAGGCUAGAUGGCACUAUGGUUGAUGGACGAGAGAUAACUGUUCAGUUUGCAAAAUAUGGUCCAAAUGCAGAAAGGAUUCACAAAGGAAAGAUCAGUGAAGCAUUUCCAAAGUCAAGAUACAAGUCUAGAAGUCGCAGUCCACGGAGACGAUAUCGGGAUGAUUAUAGAGAUAGGGAUUAUAGAAGGAGAAGUCGCAGCAGAAGUAGAAGCAGAAGCUUCGAUAGGAGUGAUCGUGAUAGGCGUGGAAGAGAAAAGGAGAGGGAAAGAGAAUAUCGCAGGCGAAGCCGGAGCAUCAGCCCUAGGCGACCAAGUCCUGAUUACUCCAAAGGGAGAGGAAGAGGACGAUAUGAUGAUGAGCGUAGAAGUCGUAGUCGCAGCCGCAGCCGCAGCCGAAGUCGUGGCCGUAGUCGUUCCGUGGAUAGUGGUUCUCCUGGUAGACAAAGCCCUAGUCCAAGGAGGAGUCCAUCUCCUCGAAGGAGUCUCUCUCCUCGAAGGAGUCCAUCUCCCAGGGGUGGAAGUCCUGAAAGAAAUGGUAAUGGUGGUGGAAGGUCUCCAACUUCUAGGAGUGUUUCACCGCGAGGUCGACCUACUGAUUCACGAAGCCCAUCUCCACAAAAUUCAGAUGUUGAUAAGUGAAUACUGAUGGGAGGAGACCUGUGGACAUGACCGAGCAGUGCAGGAAUGAAUGCUUUGAGGACUUGUUGAUUAAAAAUGUUAUCAGACUAUAAGUUCUAGUUUUGUUAUGUUCGGGGUAAGAGUGACUGGCGCCUGAUUGGCGGAUGUUGAUUUUGUGGCUGUUGAUGCUGUUUCUAUAUGAUAGAUGAUGGGUGAUCGUGACUUUGAUGCUGGUUGCAGCAGUUUGCUGACUUUAUCAGUAUGAUUGUCUAUGCAGUAUGAUGUUGCUGUGGACAGUGUCUAAACUAAUAUUCACUGGAUAAAAUGAUUGGUAAGUUUUGAAAGCACAUCACCCGCAAGGAGAUCUAGAGGCUUUGAUAUAUAGGUUUGACCCCCCCUCCCCGAUGUUGAUUGAUGUUGCUUACUCAUAGCUGAUGAUGCAUUUGAGGUUACUAUCCCAAACAUUUAGAUCAAUCUCUUGCUGCUUGAUGUGGUGACUGACUUAUUAUAGCUUUUGGAUUACACGAUUGUUGCUGUGGUGUUUGAUAGCAGAUACCUUUAUUGAUGUACGAUAGACAUGAGUUCGAUUGAUUGAUUCUGAAGUGCUAAACUCUGUAGCUGGCUGUUGCUGCCCUUGUGGGGUGAGGCUGGCAAUGAUGUUUCAGUUGCUUUUACAAUGGGUGCAUUGAUGUUUGCUUUCCUCAAAAUAAGGUUCUGCAUGUAUUAUGGUUUACAUCACUUAUGUAAGAAUUUAUUUAAUAAAAAUUCUAAUAUCGAUUUGCAAAA